rnacentral:rRNA from 1 species
CAGCAGCCACGGUAACACGUAGGGCGCAAGCGUUAUCCGGAAUUAUUGGGCGUAAAGAGCUCGUAGGCGGUUUGUCGCGUCUGCCGUGAAAGUCCGGGGCUCAACCCCGGAUCUGCGGUGGGUACGGGCAGACUAGAGUGAUGUAGGGGAGACUGGAAUUCCUGGUGUAGCGGUGAAAUGCGCAGAUAUCAGGAGGAACACCGAUGGCGAAGGCAGGUCUCUGGGCAUUAACUGACGCUGAGGAGCGAAAGCAUGGGGAGCGAACAGGAUUAGAUACCCGAGUAGUCCCUGUCUCUUAUAC